UACGUAGGGGGCAAGCGUUGUCCGGAAUUAUUGGGCGUAAAGCGCGCGCAGGCGGUUAUUUAAGUCUGGUGUUUAAACCUUGGGCUCAACCUGGGGUCGCACUGGAAACUGGGUAACUUGAGUACAGAAGAGGAAAGUGGAAUUCCACGUGUAGCGGUGAAAUGCGUAGAGAUGUGGAGGAACACCAGUGGCGAAGGCGACUUUCUGGGCUGUAACUGACGCUGAGGCGCGAAAGCGUGGGGAGCAAACAGGAUUAGAUACCCCUGUAGUCCCUGAGCGGG
rnacentral:rRNA from 1 species